rnacentral:tRNA from 1 species
GGGUGUGUAGUUCAGCCUGGCAGAACACCUACACCGGGGGUCGAGCUCCCAGUUUCGUACUGAAUUCGGCGUGUGGGAACAGGAGGCCCGGGGUUCGAAUCCUCGCGCACCCA